rnacentral:rRNA from 1 species
AACGCGAAGAACCUUACCUACCCUUGACAUCCUGAGAAUCUCGUAGAGAUAUGAGAGUGCCGCAAGGAACUCAGAGACAGGUGCUGCAUGGCUGUCGUCAGCUCGUGUUGUGAGAUGUUGGGUUAAGUCCCGUAACGAGCGCAACCCUUAUCUUUAGUUGCCAACAUGUAAUGGUGGGGACUCUAAAGAGACUGCUGGUGAUGAACCGGAGGAAGGCGGGGACGACGUCAAGUCAUCAUGGCCUUUAUGGGUAGGGCUACACACGUGCUACAAUGGCGCGUACAGAGAGUAGCGAACCUGCGAAGGGGAGCCAAUCUCGCAAAGCGCGUCGUAGUCCGGAUCGGAGUCUGCAACUCGACUCCGUGAAGUCGGAAUCGCUAGUAAUCGCGAAUCAGAACGUCGCGGUGAAUACGUUCCCGGGCCUUGUACACACCGGCUAC